rnacentral:rRNA from 1 species
UACGUAGGGUGCAAGCGUUAAUCGGAAUUACUGGGCGUAAAGCGUGCGCAGGCGGUUUUGUAAGACAGGUGUGAAAUCCCCGGGCUUAACCUGGGAACUGCGUUUGAAACUACAAGGCUAGAGUGUGGCAGAGGGGGGUGGGAAUUCCACGUGUAGCAGUGAAAUGCGUAGAGAUGUGGAGGAACACCGAUGGCGAAGGCAGCCCCCUGGGUUAACACUGACGCUCAGGCACGAAAGGCGUGGGGAGCAAACAGGAU